rnacentral:rRNA from 1 species
UACGGAGGAUCCGAGAGUUAUCCGGAUUUAUUGGGUUUAAAGGGUGCGCAGGCGGGAGAUUAAGUCGGCGGUGAAAUUUUGCAGCUCAACUGUAAAAGUGCCUUCGAAACUGGUUUCCUUGAGUGUAGAUGAAGUAGGCGGAAUUUGUGGUGUAGCGGUGAAAUGCAUAGAUAUCACGAGGAACUCCGAUUGCGCAGGCAGCUUACUAAACUACUACUGACGCUCAGGCACGAAGGCGUGGGGAUCAAACAGGAUUAGAUACCCGGGUAGUCCCU